GAUGAACGCUAGCGGCAGGCUUAAUACAUGCAAGUCGAACGGGAUUUGAGUAGCAAUAUUCAAUGAGAGUGGCGCACGGGUGCGUAACGCGUAUGCAACCUACCUUUAACAGGGGGAUAGCCCGGAGAAAUCCGGAUUAAUACCCCAUAGUAUAUUUUUGUGGCCUCACAGAAAUAUUAAAGCUCCGGUGGUUAAAGAUGGGCAUGCGUGCCAUUAGCUAGUUGGUGAGGUAACGGCUCACCAAGGCGACGAUGGCUAGGGGUCCUGAGAGGGUUAUCCCCCACACUGGUACUGAGACACGGACCAGACUCCUACGGGAGGCAGCAGUAAGGAAUAUUGGGCAAUGGACGCAAGUCUGACCCAGCCAUGCCGCGUGCAGGAAGACGGCCUUAUGGGUUGUAAACUGCUUUUAUCAGGGAAUAAACCCUUGUUUGCGAACAAGGCUGAAGGUACCUGAAGAAUAAGCAUCGGCUAACUCCGUG
rnacentral:rRNA from 1 species